CCCACUCCCAACCCAAGAACCUCUGCUGCCUGUAUUGGCUAGUUAAACAUUGGUGUGCACAGCAAAGGGGCCUUGUCACCUUUGGAGGAUAUGCUGUGCCCCCCAGAGUGAAUCAGGAGGUUCUACAGUA